CCGGGGACAGGCGAUCCUCUGGGAAGUGACUUUGCAGAUGAGCAGACAGUUGCAGGGGCAGCGAACGUACUUCUUCCCUGCUGGGGCAUUCUUAAUGGGCUGCAGAGGGAGUCAGAGACACACAGUAGGAUGAGGGUGCGCAUGAGAGCGUGCUGCCUGUGUGUUCCAGGACUGGGCUCACUAGUGCCAAUUUAAGGAUUAUCCGGAGAAGAAGCAGUAUACCCUUCUGUUGCCACCAGACCGUGCAGAGUUUUGAAUGGGAUCGAUUUGGGGCUGCAGAAGAGAGAGAGAUCAGUGACGACGUGAUGGGGGUGUAUCUAAGAAAUUCCUGAGCUGGAGGAAAAAGUGGAGGGAUGUCGCUGAGAGAGGAUGGCUGCAACACAGGUUUGUGGUCUACUUGCAGUUACUACUUCUUCAUCCCCUCAUGUUGGACUGAGGGCAGACUGGACACUAUAAUCACUCACUAUCGCCGUGAGUAGCUGAUUAGCAUGUUGACUUCAGUGGAUGUCUCUGCAACACAAUACGUAGACAUCUUUUAAGAUUAAAACUGUUAUUUCCUCACCUUCUGUUGAUAAGUUUUGUUAGUUUUUUUGAAUGUUUUAAACUAAAAUUCUUACAUAUAGCCCCUUUAAAGAUUGUUGUUGUUGUAUAAAUUGUAUUCAAAAUUCAAAUGAUGAAUUACGGCUUGUUUUCCAAUUCUAAAAUGUAAUGUAUAUGUAUUUUCUGAUCGUUGGGGCGGCCUCAUCUCACUAGGUCAAAUAAAACUGUUUGAGCUCACUGACAGAAUGGAAAUUUUAGUCUGUGUUUUACCACUAUAUGAUACACACACCUUCGUCUGGGCUCCAGAUAACAUCCAGCUCUCAGACUGUCUGCUGUCUGUCCUGCUGAUGGUUCUCUUCACUGCAUCAUUAAACUCUUACUAACCA